AUAAGACCCAAGUUAGUGGUUAUUGUGAUCGCAUAACAUACAUAGUGUUUUUAUCAGUGUUUUAUACAUACUCUCAUAUAUAAAGUGCAAGUGUUUUGUAAAAGUGCUAUUGUGUUUUAUGUGUUAUUUUUUCAUAUGUUUUAGAAAGUUAUUUUAAUAAGUGUGCAUUGAUCGUUAUCAAGGUAAGCAUUUCUAAAAGCACCUAGAUGAUGCUAGCUUCUGUGAACCCAUGUAUAACCGUCCUGUUUUUGGGUGCAU
rnacentral:lncRNA from 1 species